rnacentral:rRNA from 1 species
ACGUAGGGGGCGAGCGUUGUCCGGAGUUACUGGGCGUAAAGCGUGCGUAGACGGUUAUUUAAGUCGGAUGUGAAAGCCCCGGGCUCAACCUGGGAAUUGCAUUCGAGACUGAAUAGCUAGGGUACGGUAGAGGGAAGUGGAAUUUCCGGUGUAGCGGUGAAAUGCGUAGAUAUCGGAAGGAACAUCAGUGGCGAAAGCGACUUCCUGGACCAGUACCGACGUUCAGGCACGAAAGCGUGGGGAGCAAACAGGA